GGACUACUGGGGUUUCUAAUCCCGUUUGCUCCCCUGGCUUUCGUGCCUGAGCGUCAGGAACUGUCCAGAGACUCGCCUUCGCCACCGGUGUUCUAGUCGAUCUCUACGCAUUUCACCGCUACACCGACUAUUCCAGUCUCCUCUCCAGUCCUCGAGUCCGCCAGUUUCGAAUGACCUAUCACAGUUAGGCUGUGAGAUUUCACAUCCGACUUAACGAACCGCCUGCGCACCCUUUACGCCCAAUGAAUCCGAACAACGCUUGCAGUCUCUGUAUUACCGCGGCUGCUGGCAC
rnacentral:rRNA from 1 species